rnacentral:rRNA from 1 species
AUUCAACGGCCACGGUCCUUUGACCGUGCAAAGGUAGCAUAAUCACUUGUUUUUUAAAUAAAGACUUGUAUGAAAGGCAAGACGAAAGCUUGACUGUCUCCUUUGUCUAAUCUACGAAACUGAUCUUCCUGUAAAAAAGCAGGAAUAAUACCGUAAGACGAGAAGACCCUAUGGAGCUUAAGACAAAACAUAAUCACUAUACCACUAGCACGAACUUAUCCACGUCUUCAGUUGGGGCGACUACGGAGCACAAAAACCCUCCGCGAACCAUUUGCUAAUGUCACAAACUAACGCACCAAGACACUAAACAAUUGAUCCAAUAUUAUUGAUCAACGAACCAAGCUACCCUAGGGAUAACAGCGCAAUCUUCUUUUAGAGUCCAUAUCAAUAAGAAGGUUUACGACCUCGAUGUUGGAUCAGGGUAUCCAGACAAUGUAGCCGUUGUCAUAGGUUUGUUUGUUCAACAAUUAAAACCC